GGUGGCUCAGUGGUAGAGUGCUUGCCUCACAUGCAUGAGACUCUGGGUUCGAUUCCUUAGCACCA
rnacentral:tRNA from 1 species